rnacentral:rRNA from 1 species
AGAGUUUGAUCCUGGCUCAGAAUCAACGCUGGCGGCGUGCCUCAGACAUGCAAGUCGAACGCGAAAUUUCCCUUCGGGGAGAAAGUAGAGUGGCGCACGGGUGAGUAACACGUAGGUAAUUUGCCUUCGGGUGGGGAAUAACUCAGGGAAACUUGAGCUAAUACCGCAUAAUGCAGCGGCUCGACAUCGAGACAGUUGUUAAAGCGGGGGAUCGCAAGACCUCGCGCCUGAAGAGAAGCCUGCGGCAGAUUAGCUAGUUGGUAGGGUAAUGGCCUACCAAGGCGACGAUCUGUAACCGGCCUGAGAGGGCGGUCGGUCACACUGACACUGACAUACGGGUCAGACUCCUACGGGAGGCAGCAGUCGGGAAUUUUGGGCAAUGGGCGCAAGCCUGACCCAGCAACGCCGCGUGAAGGAUGAAAUCCCUCGGGAUGUAAACUUCGCAAGAACGGGAAGAAUAAGUAGGGGACAAUACCCCCUAUGAUGACGGUACCGUUUGUAAGCUCCGGCUAACUUCGUGCCAGCAGCCGCGGUAAUACGAGGGGAGCAAGCGUUGUUCGGAUUUACUGGGCGUAAAGGGCGCGUAGGCGGCGUGACAAGUCACUUGUGAAAUCUCCGGGCUUAACCCGGAACGGUCAAGUGAAACUGUCGUGCUAGAGUACAGAAGGGGCAACUGGAAUUCUCGGUGUAGCGGUGAAAUGCGUAGAUAUCGAGAGGAACACCUGCGGCGAAGGCGGGUUGCUGGGCUGAUACUGACGCUGAUGCGCGAAAGCCAGGGGAGCGAACGGGAUUAGAUACCCCGGUAGUCC